rnacentral:rRNA from 1 species
CUCCUACGGGAGGCAGCAGUGAGGAAUAUUGCACAAUGGGGGCAACCCUGAUGCAGCAACGCCGCGUGAGUGAUGAAGCAGUUUAUCUGUGUAAAGCUCUGUUGGGAGGGACGAAAUGAUUGGUUAGUUGCCGAUUUUGACGGUACCUCCUGAGGAAGCUCCGGCUAACUCCGUGCCAGCAGCCGCGGUAAUACGGGGGGAGCGAGCGUUGUCCGGAUUUAUUGGGCGUAAAGGGCAUGUAGGUGGUCUUUUAAGUCAGUUGUUAAACUUAUCGGCUUAACCGGUACUUGCAAUUGAUACUGGGGGACUUGAAUUUGAGAGGGGAUAGUGGAAUAUCAAGUGUAGCGGUGGAAUGCGUAGAUAUUUGAUAGAACACCUGAGGUGCAGACGACUAUCUGGCUCAUGAUUGACACUGAGAUGCGAAAGUAUGGGGAGCAAACAGGAUUAGAUACCCUGGUAGUCCAUACCGUAAACGAUGGGAACUAGGUGUCUGGGGACUAACCCCCUGGGCGCCGUAGCUAACGCGUUAAGUUCCCCGCCUGGGGAGUACGAUCGCAAGGUUGAAACUCAAAGGAAUUGACGGGGGCCCGCACAAGCGGUGGAGCAUGUGGUUUAAUUCGAU